CGCAUGGGAUGUCCCCGGGCUUCGAAGUGCACUCACCUGUCAGUGGACCUUUAGGUGGCUUCCAGAUCUUGGCUCUGCCCCGCGGCGGCAGAUGGCACUCGUUCUGCCGCUUUUUCCUGGCUGUGUGCGAUGCCAUCGCAUGGAUGUCCCCGGGCCUUCGAAGUGCACUCACCUGUCAGUGGACCUUUAGGUGGCUUCCAGAUCUUGGCUCUGGUGAGUAGUGCGGCGACAGACAGAGGGGUGCCCGGGUCUGCUUCCGGGAAAGUUUGGUCCCGGUGAAAUGGAGCUGUUUGGAGGCCGGCUUCGGUCUUUGUGUGGGCCGGCCCGUGUAGGGCUGCUUGGCUGAGACUCUGUCGAGGAGGGAGGCCUUCAGCCACCGGGGCCUCACGGGGCCUCCCCGUGCGGCACCAUCACAGAG
ensembl:lncRNA